rnacentral:rRNA from 1 species
CCCUUAGAUGUUCUGGGCCGCACGCGCGCUACACUGUUCGACGCAGCGAGUCUUAACCUUGACCGAAAGGUUUGGGUAAUCUUCAGCAAAGUCGAACGUGAUGGGGAUCGAUCAUUGCAAUUAUUGAUCGUGAACGAGGAAUUCCUAGUAAGUGCAAGUCAUCAGCUUGCGCUGAUUACGUCCCUGCCAUUUGUACACACCGCCCGUCGCUACUACCGAUUGAAUGGUUUAGUGAGAUCUCUGGAUUGACGCUGGCUAGGGGGCGACCCUUGGCCAGACUGUUGAGAAACUGCUCAAACUUGAUCAUUUAGAGGAAGUAAAAGUCGUAACA